rnacentral:rRNA from 1 species
GAUGAACGCUAGCGGGAGGCCUAACACAUGCAAGCCGAGCGGUAGAGAUUCUUCGGGAUCUUGAGAGCGGCGUACGGGUGCGGAACACGUGUGCAACCUGCCUUUAUCAGGGGGAUAGCCUUUCGAAAGGAAGAUUAAUACCCCAUAAUAUAUUGAUUGGCAUCAAUUAAUAUUGAAAACUCCGGUGGAUAGAGAUGGGCACGCGCAAGAUUAGAUAGUUGGUAGGGUAACGGCCUACCAAGUCAAUGAUCUUUAGGGGGCCUGAGAGGGUGAUCCCCCACACUGGUACUGAGACACGGACCAGACUCCUACGGGAGGCAGCAGUGAGGAAUAUUGGACAAUGGGUGAGAGCCUGAUCCAGCCAUCCCGCGUGAAGGACGACGGCCCUAUGGGUUGUAAACUUCUUUUGUAUAGGGAUAAACCUUUCCACGUGUGGAAAGUUGAAGGUACUAUACGAAUAAGCACCGGCUAACUCCGUGCCAGCAGCCGCCGUAA